rnacentral:rRNA from 1 species
GAUGAACGCUGGCGGCGUGCCUAAUACAUGCAAGUCGAGCGAACAGAUAAGGAGCUUGCUCCUUUGACGUUAGCGGCGGACGGGUGAGUAACACGUGGGUAACCUACCUAUAAGACUGGAAUAACUCCGGGAAACCGGGGCUAAUGCCGGAUAACAUUUAGAACCGCAUGGUUCUAAAGUGAAAGAUGGUUUUGCUAUCACUUAUAGAUGGACCCGCGCCGUAUUAGCUAGUUGGUAAGGUAACGGCUUACCAAGGCAACGAUACGUAGCCGACCUGAGAGGGUGAUCGGCCACACUGGAACUGAGACACGGUCCAGACUCCUGCGGGAGGCAGCAGUAGGGAAUCUUCCGCAAUGGGCGAAAGCCUGACGGAGCAACGCCGCGUGAGUGAUGAAGGUCUUCGGAUCGUAAAACUCUGUUAUUAGGGAAGAACAAAUGUGCAAGUAACUGUGCACGUCUUGACGGUACCUAAUCAGAAAGCCACGGCUAACUACGUG